CGGAUACUCACUCCGUCCAACAAAAGAUGUCUUAACUUUGACCAAAUUUGAAUGCAUCUAUACACUAAGUCAUGUUUAGAUACAUCCAAAUUUUGACAAACUUGAGACAUCUUUUGUUGAACGGAGGGAGUACUUA
rnacentral:pre_miRNA from 1 species